CCGAAGCUCCCAUGCCCGGUUAGCAGCUGCAUGGUGUGGUGAUCGAUGUCCAUCUUCUUUUAGGUAAAUAGCAGCGCACUCGGUAUUGGCUUCUUUGUGAUAUUUUCCUUUUUACACCGAAGCUCCCAUGCCCGGUUAGCAGCUGCAUGGUGUGGUGAUCGAUGUCCAUCUUCUUUUUGGUAAAUAGCAGCGCACUCGGUAUUGGCUUCUUUGUGAUAUUUUCCUUUUUAAGAUCGGAAAAUAACCACUUUUGACGCUCUGUUUUCAUCCCAUAUGAAUUUUAUCUUUAAUAUUACCGAUUGAUAAUAAUGUCACUGCGAUAUUGUCCGCAAUGAUUGCAAAUUAUCUUCUCC
rnacentral:misc_RNA from 1 species